AUUGAACGCUGGCGGCAGGCUUAACACAUGCAAGUCGAGCGAGCGGCGGACGGGUGAGGAAUGUCUGGGAAACCGCCUGAGGGAGGGGGAUAACAACUGGAAACGGUAGCUAAUAACGCAUACCAUCAGAUGUGCCCAGAUGGGAUUAGCUAGUAGGUGGGGUAAUGGCUCACCUAGGCGACGAUCCCUAGCUGGUCUGAGAGGAGUACCAGCCACACUGGAGCUUAGACACGUUCCAGACUCCUACGGGAGGCAGCAGUGGGGAAUAUUGCACAAUGGGCGCAAGCCUGAUGCAGCCAUGCCGCGUGUGUGAAGAAGGUCUUGGGGUUGUAAAGCACUUUCAGCGAGGAGGCGUUACUCGCAGAAGAAGCACCGGCUAACUCCGUGCCAGCAGCCGCGGUAAUUC
rnacentral:rRNA from 1 species